rnacentral:rRNA from 1 species
UACGGGGGUGGCGAGCGUUGUCCGGAAUUACUAGGCGUAAAGGGCAGGUAGGCGGAUAGAUAAGUUAAUCGUUAAAGACCGGCGCUCACCGUCGGGGAUGCGAUUGAUACUGUUUAUCUGGAAUCGAGUGGGGGAAGACGGAAUUCCUGGUGUAGCGGUGGAAUGCGCAGAUAUCAGGAGGAACACCGAAGGCGAAGGCAGUCUUCUACGCUUGUAUUGACGCUAAACUGCGAAGGUGCGGGUAUCAAACAGGAUUAGAUACCCUGGUAGUCCGCACAGUAAACGAUAUUCACUAGGUGUUGGCGGGAUAGACCCGUCGGUGCCGUAGCUAACGCGAUAAGUGAAUCGCCUGGGGAGUACGAUCGCAAGGUUGAA